GCCCCCGUCGUUCAAUGGAUAGGACACGACUUUGCGGAAGUCGUGAUGUAGGUUCGAUUCCUACCGAGGGCA
rnacentral:tRNA from 2 species